CUCUAUGGCGAUACCACCCUGAACACACCAGAUCUCGUCUGAUCUUGGAAGCUAAGCAGGGUCAGGCCUGGUUAGUACUUGGAUGGCAGACAAGGCCUCUUGCCAUGCAGUCCAGGUUGGCCUUAAACU
rnacentral:rRNA from 1 species